CAUUGUAAAUUUUUUAAAAAGAAAAGAAACAAAAUAGCAGAAAAGGAGAAAAACAGAAAAUAAAGAAAAAUAAACGUGAGUGGACCAGCCCAAUAGGCACCCUGGUGGGGGGUGUAUAGCACCUCCCGUCAAGGAGAGGGAAUUGGGAUGUUGGGUUGUGUCGGUUUGGGCUCUACUGGGCCAGCCCACUGGGUCAGGUCAACACCCCCAGGCCGACCCGCACCUCUCUCAUCCUCUUCGUGUCUCCCUCACCCUCCUCGCAUGCGCCCCCCUUUCGCUAUCCCAUUCCCCACUUCGACGCCGCCGCCGCCGCCGCCGCCGCCCCCGCCGCUGCCGCCAUUCGCCGCCCCGGCUACCUGCCGCAUCCACUGCAACCGCCGCAUCUGCUGCCGUAGACCGGUGAAACUCUGCUGCCUCUUCUCUGCCACUUUCCCCGCCGCCACGAUGUACGCCCGUGCCAGCACGCGCGGCUACGCGAAACCCUAACCUCACAGCUCGGGCUCACCGGCGCUUCUCCGUCCGCCUCCCGCUGAUACUGGCGCCUCCGCGCCCCGGCGUGAUCCCCCCAUGGACCUCUCCGCUGGAUCCACCCCUCCGCGCCACCCUACACCACCCAAGCACGCGUGCCCGCGAAACCCUAGCAGUUGGGCUCGGGCUCGCAACACCUAUUCUCCUGCUAUCACGACGUUGGCGACUACCACCUGUUGAUGUCGCCUGGGUGGCCGGGGCCUCCCCACGGUGGUGCGGUGGUAGGCUGUGGGCCUGUGGCUGCCCUCUCCUCUUCCACGGCUAGAACUACAAUGUGAGCUAUUUCUUCUCCCUUCUAUCUCUCUUGUGCAUUGUGAUGGUUUGUCCAACGAGCCGUGGUUAGUUUUAGUUUCAGGACUAUGGUGGUGAUGUCCUGUACGAGUGCUGCAUUGUGAUGUUGCUGGUACAUGGCCGUGCUGAUGCUCUGAUUAGGUUGUAGCUGUUGGUAUUUCGGUUAAUGGAUAAUUGAUUGGUUAAAUAGGGUCCUUGUUAGCUCUAGUUGAUAUUGUGUAGUACAUCAGAUGCUCUAAUGAUUUCUUCUAUAUGAUAUAUAAUUCUCCUACUAUUGAUCAUGAAUAAAAUUUAGCUUGACAUGUUUGUACUUUCUGGUUCUCUUCUAUAUGACUGCAUUCCUGUCGAUGCUGCUCACUCUGUUUUUCUUUACUCAAUCCUAGCUCCUCUAUUACUGCAUAAUUACCAUUCUGAAGUCAUUAAAUCAUUUUAUGAAUGAGGACAUGGAACAAGGCAAGUUCACGGAUAUGGUGUGGAAGGCGCAAAGGACGCUUCCAGUCAUGUAAUGCGUUCCAUACUGUUGAAACUAGAUCAGUGUCUCAUCUUAUUGGCAACUGAUGGUGCAGACUUCACUUGUUACAGGUCUAGCAAACCAUCGAAGCUAAGCCUCUGUUUACGUAUUUUUUUACAUGUACUCCUGUUGGAAUUUUGGCCCAUAUUGGAUCAACACAAUAAAUAUUCCAGAAAUUCCUAAUAAAUCCUAGAGGCCCACAUGGCCCAUUCAUGCAUGGCAAGGGUGGGACAAAAGUUUAGACCCACAUUGCUAGUUGAAGAAGAGUUGGAGCAGCUUAUAAGGGGAGCUCUUCAUACCUUUUGUAAGAGAGAAAUAAUAGGAGGAAAUAGGAGCUGGCCACACGCGCGCUCCUCCGACGACGACGCCGCUCGCUCGCUCGCCUCGUCACGAUGCGCGCGCCGCGGUUUGCGGGAAUGCCUCGAGCCGAGAGCCUCUCUUUCACCUCCCUGGCCCUUCGUUUCAUCUCCUCGCGUGGCCUGUUCAACUCCUCUCUCUGUGCCUAUAAAAGAGGUCGCUCCUCUCCAGAGAUACACUACGAGACACAGCACCAUAUGCGCCUACCACUCGGUUCCAGAGCUUUGCGCCGCCGCUCAAGACUUCUCCAUCCCGUCUAUCGGCGUG